rnacentral:rRNA from 1 species
GUGCGAAGGUAGCGCAAUCACUUGUCUUUUAAAUAGAGACCUGUAUGAAUGGCAUAACGAGGGCUAAGCUGUCUCCUUUCUCCAGUCAAUGAAAUUGAUCUACCCGUGCAGAAGCGGGCAUGACAACAUAAGACGAGAAGACCCUAUGGAGCUUUAGACAACAAGACAGACCACGUCAAGACCCCGCGGAAAAUGCGGAACAAACCAAAUGGCCACUGUCCUUAUGUCUUUGGUUGGGGCGACCGCGGAGUAAAAAGAAACCCCCGUGUGGAAAGGAAUAUCCCCCUAAGGCAAGAGCCACAGCUCUAGCAAACAGAAAAUCUGACCAAAAAGAUCCGGCAAUGCCGAUCAACGGACCGAGUUACCCUAGGGAUAACAGCGCAAUCCCCUUUUAGAGCCCAUAUCGACAAGGGGGUUUACGACCUCGAUGUUGGAUCAGGACUUCCUAAUGGUGCAGCCGCUAUUAAGGGUUCGUUUGUUCAACGAUUAAAGUCCU